rnacentral:rRNA from 1 species
UACGAAGGGGGCUAGCGUUGCUCGGAAUCACUGGGCAUAAAGCGCACGUAGGCGGGUUGCCAAGUCGGGGGUGAAAUCCUGGAGCUCAACUCCAGAACUGCCUUCGAUACUGGCGAUCUUGGAGUCCGGGAGAGGUGAGUGGUACUGCGAGUGUAGAGGUGAAAUUCGUAGAUAUUCGCAAGAACACCAGUGGCGAAGGCGGCUCACUGGCCCGGUACUGACGCUCAGGCGCGACAGCGUGGGGAGCAAACAGG